UUCUUCGGGGCGGGGCGUAAUUCCCCACUGGCGGUAUAGUCCGCGACCUGCUGUCUGAAGCAGUUGAAUCGGUGUAAUUCCGGUACCAACAGUGAAAGUCUGGAUGAAAGAAGGA
rnacentral:ncRNA from 1 species